rnacentral:tRNA from 1 species
GCAUUUGUAGCUCAAUAGCGCAGAGCAACGGGUUUUUGCCCCGUGGGUUAAACCCGACUCAUGUAAUAGGAAUCGUAGUGAGGCUGUAAAUCGCAAAGAAUCAGGAAGUUUGGUCUUGACGGCAUAGCAUCGCUAUGGUGAGAGACCAAACGAAGCGAAGCGACUGAUUCAAAGUGAAUUACAGUCAUAAUAGAAAGCCUAUUUCAUCAUUCAGGUUAAAGGUUCGAAUCCUUUCAGAUGCA